GAUGAACGCUGGCGGCGUGCCUAACACAUGCAAGUCGAGCGGAAGGACAGUGAGAUUGUUCUCCUACCGGUUGCGACUGGCGGGCGUGUAACGCAUGUAUCGGCUUCUACUUUUUCGUGGAUCAUAACGGAAGACAGGUUCCACUACUAGUGCAUAUGUUCUACCGCGGAGAUCAAUAGUGCUUCACGCCUUUCCCGUUUGUUUUAGCCGAUGCCGCGUUAGCUAGUUGGGUAGGUAAAGUCCUACCAAGGCGACGAUACGUAGCUGGACUGAGAGGAUGAUCAGCCACACUGGAACUGAGACACGGUCCAGACUCCUACGGGAGGCAGCAGUGGGGAAUCUUGGACAAUGGGCGAAAGCCUGAUCCAGCAAUGCCGCGUGGGUGAAGAAGGCCUUCGGGUUGUAAAGCUCUUUUAUUAGGAAAGAAAAGCUGUGGAUGUAUCCACCGCUGUCUUGACGGUACCUAAUGAGUAAGCACCGGCUAACUACGUG
rnacentral:rRNA from 1 species